rnacentral:tRNA from 1 species
GGUAGAAUGGCUGAGUUAUAAGCGAUAAAUUGUAAAUUUAUUUACGAAUUGCAUUCUUCUACCA